GACGAACGCUGGCGGCGUGCUUAACACAUGCAAGUCGAACGGAAAGGCCCUGCUUUUGUGGGGUGCUCGAGUGGCGAACGGGUGAGUAACACGUGAGUAACCUGCCCUUGACUUUGGGAUAACUUCAGGAAACUGGGUCUAAUACCGGAUAGGAGCUCCUGCUGCAUGGUGGGGGUUGGAAAGUUUCGGCGGUUGGGGAUGGACUCGCGGCUUAUCAGCUUGUUGGUGGGGUAGUGGCUUACCAAGGCUUUGACGGGUAGCCGGCCUGAGAGGGUGACCGGCCACAUUGGGACUGAGAUACGGACCAGACUCCUACGGGAGGCAGCAGUGGGGAAUACUGCACAAUGGGAGGAAGCCUGAUGCAGCAACGCCGCGUGCGGGAUGACGGCCUUCGGGUUGUAAACCGCUUUCGCCUGUGACGAAGCGUGAGUGACGGUAAUGGGUAAAGAAGCACCGGCUAACUACGUG
rnacentral:rRNA from 1 species